rnacentral:rRNA from 1 species
GUGUCAGCAGCCGCGGUAAUACGGAGGAUCCGAGCGUUAUCCGGAAUCAUUGGGUUUAAAGGGUCCGUAGGCGGACCGUUAAGUCAGGGGUGAAAUUCUGCGGCUCAACCGUAGAACUGCCCUUGAUACUGGCGGUCUUGAGUUAUAGUGAAGCAGCCAGAAUAUGUGGUGUAGCGGUGAAAUGCAUAGAUAUCACAUGGAAUACCGAUUGCGAAGGCAGGUUGCUAACUAUAUACUGACGCUGAUGGACGAAAGCGUGGGUAGCGAACAGGAUUAGAUACCCUGGUAGUCCACGCCGUAAACGAUGGAUACUAGCUGUCCGGCAGUAAUGCUGGGCGGCCCAGCGAAAGUGAUAAGUAUCCCACCUGGGGAGUACGUCCGCAAGGAUGAA